rnacentral:lncRNA from 1 species
UCAUAAUGCCAGUUUAUGCAAAGCCAACACUCCUGCAAAUGUUUUGGCUACACAUAUUCUGCAUUCUGCUGAAGCACAAGACUUGGUUCUACUCUGUUCAGAAACAACCCGGAAACAGGCCCAUUUUUUAAACACAUACUUUGGACAAUUUGAGAGUUUACUGGUGAAAGGUGAGACAGGAAUCCCAAAGUUAGCGAAGGCCUAGCGUUUACAGAAUGAAUUCAGAGAGGCAAAUGCCUGAGUUUGAAUUGUGGCAACAUUUGACGUUUUCGAUCUGAUUUCCCGCAGAUGGUAGACCAGAUGCAGGUGAUGAGAACGUCUUCAAACUGUGGGGAAAAGCACCUAAAACUCAGAAGGAUUUCAAUUAAAUCAAACCGAGAGUCAACAUAUUGACAGACCCUUCUUACUCUGAGCUACUUGAGAAAGUUAACUUGAUUUUGGGCCUCUUUUUCUAAGGCUUUAUCAUCAUAGUGUUUAUCUAUGACUUUGUCCGAGUCUCCAAGGAGGCCAGUAGGAGAUCUGAUGCUCUAGCUGCUGCCAAACUGAAGAGAAAACAACCACCCACUGUUGAACCAGUCAACUUGAUCCAAAUGUACCCUCUAUGAUACCUUACUCUGAGUGGCGUUCACUUGCUUGAAUAUGUGAUCCCUGGCUAAGUUAAGUGUAGGCUAUACUGACUGCAGGGUCUUACAUUCUGUUGUAACAAUGGCCCGCUUUAGAGCGGGAGCGCAUCGCUGCAUAGUUUCGUUUGAAAAAUACAUCAUCCACGGCUAAUGAUUUGGAGGCGAAUUUUCCCAAGACUCUACAAAACCAGAGUGCUGUCAGCCUUAGAGAGUGAGAACCUCUGCCUGAGUCUCAGCUGACUGAUGCUUGCAUCAACUACCACGUCUUUUACCCAGUGAUAUUUAAUGGAAGGAACAGAAAUCAAAUCUCCAAAUAAGAUCAUGUUGAGACUGCCACCUUUGAAGACUGCCACUUUCUGUCUCGUCACUAAUCCCCAUAACAAUGACUGUUUAACAGUUUAAUGCAACCCUCAGGUUUCAACCCUUUAGGAUAGACCAGUGAGGAGACAAUACUUCCAGGCAUAAUGUACAUGAUUUUAAAAAGCCCCAGGCAUCGAAGCAUCUUUCAAAGCCUGCUCUCUGUCAUCUUUUAGUUUGACCCUCCUAUUGAGACACUCAUCCCUUUUGGCAUAGCUUUUGAAUGAGCUUUAGUUUAUUACGGUGUCUGUGACUUUCCUAUGAUGAAGCACUGCAGAACAACACAAAUCAACGUUUAUUGGUGCGUCCACAGUUCUGCACGUUAUCGCAGGUGCAGCGAGAUGCUUAUGUUUCGAGCUCCAACAAUGCAGCAAUAUCUAGCGGAAUCAAAUAGUUAAACAUUGUAGUUUGCCUGGUUCUCUUUUAUCAAUGAACAUUCUUCCAGAAGAGCAUAGUUCUUGGAAAGGAUUUACCUCAUCAGCCUCAGGUUGUUGUCUCAGAUAGAGAAUGUCUUGUAUAGGAGGAAAACACAGACUACAGACAGUGGUAGGGAUGGAAGUGAGAGAUGCUGCCAUCUUCUGGAGAAGAAUAUAAAGCUUUUUGGCAGCCAAGGUAUUUGACUUGUUCAUCAAGAAUCCUUAUGUAGAAACUGGUGAGAUUAGAACGUAUUGUGGGAUCAUGUACAGUUGUUGGAUACAUACAGCUUUUAGAAAAUCUGUUUUAGGAGAGAGGAUGAAAAAUAGUCCACAUUUAAAGGCUGAAAU